CCUACGGGCGGCUGCAGUGGGGAAUAUUGCACAAUGGGGGAAACCCUGAUGCAGCGACGCCGCGUGAGUGAAGAAGUAUUUCGGUAUGUAAAGCUCUAUCAGCAGGGAAGAAGCAAGACGGUACCUGACUAAGAAGCCCCGGCUAACUACGUGCCAGCAGCCGCGGUAAUACGUAGGGGGCAAGCGUUAUCCGGAUUUACUGGGUGUAAAGGGAGCGUAGACGGUAUGGCAAGUCUGAAGUGAAAGCCCAGGGCUUAACCCUGGGACUGCUUUGGAAACUGUUAGACUAGAGUGCUGGAGAGGUAAGUGGAAUUCCUAGUGUAGCGGUGAAAUGCGUAGAUAUUAGGAGGAACACCGGUGGCGAAGGCGGCCUGCUGGACUGUGACUGACGUUGAGGCCCGAAGGCGUGGGGAGCAAACAGGAUUAGAUACCCCAGUAGUC
rnacentral:rRNA from 1 species